GUUUCCCUGAGGGAAGCUGGACCACCCAAGGAUGUAGCCACUCUGUGAGCUGCUACUUCCAUUCAGAAUCUCAUAGGGGAAAUUACUUCAUCCUUGCUGAUACAGAUGACAACAAGAGGAACUUCUAGCAUUUGACAGGACUUCUAAAA
rnacentral:lncRNA from 12 species